UCCCGGGUGGGUGGGCACUUGUUGCAUUGCGAGAGGGCUUUUGCAGCGACGAGACUUCUCAUCCCGUCCUGGCUGAGAGUUACCAGUUUGACAGCUGAUUCUGAAUGCUAGUGUCAGUGUAAGAGAGGAGCCAGGCAAAGAGCAGUGGCAUCACUGAAGGGCUGGCUGUUAUUGCUGUGGGAGAUCGAAAGCUACUUCCAACCGUAUUUUGUGUGUCAUCUGCAG